AUUGAACGCUGGCGGCAGGCCUAACACAUGCAAGUCGAACGGUAGCACAGAGAGCUUGCUCUCGGGUGUCGAGUGGCGGACGGGUGAGUAAUGUCUGGGAAACUGCCCGUUGGAGGGGGAUAACUACUGGACACGGUAGCUAAUACCGCAUAAUGUCGCAAGACCACAGAGGGGUACUUUUGGGCCUCUUGCCAUCGGAUCUGCCCAGAUGGGAUUCGCUAGUUGGUGAGGUAAUGGCUCACCAAGGCGACGAUCCCUAGCUGGUCUGAGAGGAUGACCUGCCACACUGGAACUGAGACACGGUCCAGACUCCUACGGGAGGCAGCAGUGGGGAAUAUUGCACAAUAGGCGGAAGCCUGAUGCAGCCAUGCCGCAUGUAUGAAGAGGGCCUUCUGGUUGUAAAGUACUUUCAGCGGGGAGGAAGGCAAUGCGAUUAAUAACCGUGUUGAUUGACGUUACCCGCAGAAGAAGCACCGGCUAACUCCGUG
rnacentral:rRNA from 1 species